CCUACGGGAGGCAGCAGUGGGGAAUUUUCCGCAAUGGGCGAAAGCCUGACGGAGCAACGCCGCGUGAGGGAUGAAGGCCUCUGGGCUGUAAACCUCUUUUAUCAAGGAAGAAGAUCUGACGGUACUUGAUGAAUAAGCCACGGCUAAUUCCGUGCCAGCAGCCGCGGUAAUACGGGAGUGGCAAGCGUUAUCCGGAAUUAUUGGGCGUAAAGCGUCCGCAGGCGGCCCUUCAAGUCUGCUGUUAAAAAGUGGAGCUUAACUCCAUCAUGGCAGUGGGAACUGUUGGGCUUGAGUGUGGUAGGGGCAGAGGGAAUUCCCGGUGUAGCGGUGAAAUGCGUAGAUAUCGGGAAGAACACCAGUGGCGAAGGCGCUCUGCUGGGCCAUCACUGACGCUCAUGGACGAAAGCCAGGGGAGCGAAAGGGAUUAGAUACCCCUGUAGUCCUGGCCGUAAACGAUGAACACUAGGUGUCGGGGAAUCGACCCCCUCGGUGUCGUAGCCAACGCGUUAAGUGUUCCGCCUGGGGAGUACGCACGCAAGUGUGAAACUCAAAGGAAUUGACGG
rnacentral:rRNA from 1 species